UUUAGUUCAUUAUUGUCAUGGCGGGAAGCAUGGUGACAUGCAGGCAGACAUGGUGCUGGAAAGGCAGCUCUACAUCCGGAUCGGCAGGCAGCAGGAAGAGACAGUGACAUACUUCCUCCAAGAAGGUCAAACCUAUUCCAACAAGAUGCUCCAAUCCCAUGGCCUAUUUCUGCAGACAUCUACUCCUUAGCAGCUAGGAGAAUCGGGGAAGCUGUAUUAUGGACGGAAGAGAAAUAUCACCAGCAAUUUGGCAACUGAGUGAAGACUGGCCACCUCUAAACGUUUAUGUGACUUCAUUUGUUUUAUGAAAUGAAAGGUUAUGUGUGAGGACGUAUAUACCAGGAGCCAGAACACAGUUUGAUGAAGGGAAAAAGUUAACAUUUGGAUUAAAAGCUCAUCUCAACUACAAGAUAUUAAAUAUGACUCUGUGCUGCCUGCUAACGCCUAAGCGUCUGUCAGCCCCAAAUCCCGCAAUCCAGAAUUCUGAGUGGUCUAAGCUGUUGCUCCGAGAAGGACACCGGAAGGUGAAGGUCAGCCUCUCUCCUCAGCCGUGAGUUACGUUGGCCUCUCUCCUUCUUCCAUCAUUUGGAAGAAAUGGAAAC